rnacentral:piRNA from 1 species
UGAGAGUGGGCUGCGCACAGGCAGG